CUGAGAUGCCAAAUAGCCGCUCACUCUUCCGCCUCCACGGACUGGCUUUGGUGUUCAUGCUGGUUGGGAUGUCUACUAUGGACCUGCUGAGCACAGGGCUGGGUUCCUGGGGCACAGAGUUGAGUAAGUCUCUCGACCCCCUAAGCCUUACUCUGACCAUCUAUGAAAUGGGGAUGAUGACAGACUCUGUCUCAAAGGGGUGAGGGUGAGGCUUAAAUAAGAUGCUGUAAGUCAAAGCCCUCAGCACUUACUAUGGGUGGCAGGAGGGGUAAUGGCCCCAGGAGAACUGGGCUGGGGGCUGCAGGGGGGCCCCACCUCCAGCCCAGCAUGGCUCACAGGACCAGUCUGGGAAGGUGGCUCCAGCCCUUGGCUGCCAGUGCUGUGCCAGCCUCUGGGCAGGGCCACAGGGACUGCUCGGGAGGGCUCCCCCACUCAGUGUUGGGACUCGAGGACAUGGGGUGAGGGUGUCAAUGGGUCCUUAGAAGGGGAAGGGUGGUGGGAGCCUCAGGGAAGGCCAGGCUGACUCUGACCCUCUUUUUCCUAGUGCUUAUGGCCCAGGAACUGCUGGGCCCCAGGACUGGGCGGUUUCCAUGGUUGCUGCCACAGAAGCAGCAUUGCUGGAGUCAGUAGUGUGGCUGCCUUGCCAUGGCCGUGGUGGGUCUGCCUGGGGGUAUCUCAAUCCCGCAGAGUGCCAGGCAACCACUCCAGCCUGCUGUUGAAGGCCCCUGGCCACCCCUGGAGUUCCAGAAGUUUAAGAGACACACACAAAAUUAUCCAACCCAGAAGAAGAGUGCACUUCCAGGGACAAUUUAAGCAUUCAGCUGGUAGCAGUAAAGCACCUGCUGCAAGCCAAGUGCGUGGAUAGGAGCUGUGGUUACAACCCUGGAUGGGCCAGACAUUAUCCUCCUCUCACGGUGCUAGUGGUGACUGGCAAGGGAGCUGACUUCACAGCAUGAGGGCCACCUGGAAGGUAACCUGUCUCAGGUGGCAGGUUGGGGACUUGGGGCCAACCAGAUUUCUCCUCCUUUCUGUGUCUGUUCCCCUCCAUGAAAUGAAGAGUUUAAGAACCAGGGUGUUAUCUAACCACAUCACCCUGCUUCCAUAUUCAGACCCAGGGUCUGAAAGAAAUGAGAUGGAGACAAAAUGAAAGCAGAAGGUUGGAGGAAUGAAAUUCACAAUAAAACCUACAAUCUGCUCCUUGACCAAAAUGAUAGCUCAGGCACGCUGAGCACUCACUAUGGGCCAGGCGCUGUGCUAAGACCUUCACGUACUUCAUCUCACUCUGCCCUCUCAACAGCCGCAUUUUCCAGUUGACAGACUGAGGCUUGGAGAUGUCACCCUGCCCAGGGUCAAACGGCUAGUAAGUGGUAGAGCUGGGAUUCAGACCCCAGGGUGUCUGACUGUGGAGACUGCAAGGUCAGCUCUGCUCUGUUGCCUCAGCAGGUCUAUUCCUUGGAUUGAAAGAGCUCGCUGCAGUCUGAUUUCCCACAGAACAGUAGCAUGGAAAGAGUGGAGGAAGGCAGGGGAAAAUUCCCAGGCUGGUAGCUGGUGUUCUAUCUGCAAGGCUGCCUUAGCUCAAGCGGCCCCAGCCUCCGGGCAGCUGGUGGGAAGGUAAACUGCUGAAACUGAAGAUUUGCAAAACCCACCAUGCUCCAGUUAACGAGCCUCUUGGAAAACCUCUCUGAAGGUUCCUGGCAGUGUCCCUGUGGGAGCCAGCUCAUGUAUUUUAAGACAAAAAAAAAAUCAUUAAAGAAGUUAGGACUCUGGAGUGGCCGUAAAUGUAAAAUAUUGGUGGUUCGACAGUGUAUCCCUAGCAGCCGUAGGCAGAGUUCAUCUUGAUGAGCCAGAACCAUGUCCAAGAAAUGAAUCAUUUUGUUUUCCUCAGAGGGCUCCCCCUGAAUCUUCCCAGGCCGUCUGCUCCAAAGUUUUUAACUUGCCCACCUAGCUCAGGACCCACUAAGACCACGACUGCUCCUAGCCAGGAAAGGGAAUAGGGUUGGCAGAAUUGUAGAGCAAGCUGGGCCCCAAACACUUCUGGAACGGUGCCUGAGAGAUUCCAUUUUCCAGAUGGCCCCCAAGCCUUCCCUUACUUUGGUUGUUGGUAACCAUAACUGUCACACCAAAGGCACUUGUCUUCAUGACAUUCUGGAGGAGGGAGGUCAUGGCAUGUGGCACCUCUUAGGCACUCCGUGAGUGCUUGUGGAUGGUGGGGGCAAACACAUGGUUUGCAUGGUUUGGGCCUCCCACAUAUGGCACCUGCUUGUCUCUUUGGCUGAUGGGUGUCUUGGUUUCCCUUUGCCCAGCAAAGGUGGUACCACCAUCCAGCCAAUCUUUUAUUCUGCUCCCUCUUUCAUUUGGUGAACCAUAGUGAGGAUCCAGAUCUAGAGGAUUUAAAGUGUUGGGGACCCCCUGCCAGCUCAGAUCAAAUUUAAAGGUGUUGGGGACCCCCACCUGCCUCAGAUCAGAUUAAAGUCAGUGGCAGCCCAGGCCAGGAAUUGAGGCUAGAGGGGGGAUUUCCAAGGUCCCGCCCUAGCCCCCAGCUCCCACAUCCAGGGUGACUUCCAACAAACCACCUGACCCCUCCCCAUCCCCUCUUCCCAGCUUAGAGGCGGGGAGGGUGACAUUGAGCUUCGGCUCUGGGGCGUCCUAAGGGUUAACUAAUUAAUGGUCGGAAAGUGCUUUGAAAAAAUAAAGUGCUGGAUAAUGGGAAGGGCAAUUAUGUUGGGAGAAACUCCUAAUUUGGCUGGAAUUGAUGUUAAUGAUAAAGUAUCUGAAACAUGUAGCAAGCAAGCGUGAUUGUAUUUUAUAUGACAGAGAGAGACACUUACACGCAGGGGACACGGACAGCGGUUAAUUUGGUUAAAUAAAGUGAAAGAUAAAAGGAAUGCGGACACCGCAGGACUCGCUGUUUAUCCGGACUCAAUGUAACACUUUGCAAUUGGAUCGGGGCGCUUUGACUCUUAUUUAUUUGUUUGUGAUGAAAAUAAAUGGGAAAGUGCCAGUUUUAUGGCUUAAAAGGAGAUGGUAGAAAGUAGAAUCCAAGAAGGAGUCCCAGGGCUUCCGACGAGGCAGGCUCAGGCUGCGUUCCCAGGAAGGAGAACAAGGUCUCCGAGAGAGUCAAGGUGGGUGAGGACAUCCUCACUCCACCCCACCGGAGCUGGGGGAAUCUCAGAGGGCAACCAACAUAGCUCUCACCUUCCAGAGGGAGAAACUGAGACCCAGGAAAGGGAGAGGGUAUACGACUGAGUAUAGGAGCCAGCAUUAACUAAGCAAUUCUGUUCGCUAUGAUCAGAUGAGAUGUUAUGAUCCCAUUUAAUCCCUAAAGCAAGCGUAUGAGGUGGGUACCAUUUUCACUGCCAUAUUACAGAAGAAGAAACAGAAGCUCAGAGAGGUCAAGCAAGGAGCCCAAGAUCACACAGCCAGGAAGUGGUGGAGCAGGGCGUUGGGCUCGGGCAGCCUGACUCUGGGAGGAAAACUCCACGAAUGGUGACUUUGGGACUAAGCCAAUGCUCUUAAUAUUCAUGUCCCUCUUCUCCUUGACUACGUUCUGCUGAACAGGGAACCAGGAGAAGGAAGUGAGGAGACUCUUGUCCCAGUCCAGGAAAGACUGAAUGGGGCUGCCCAGGGUGAUAGGGAUGCCUGGUCUGGGACCAGAGCAAUGGCAGGGGUUUGAGCCCUAGUUUGGGGCCCCAGAGGACAGCAUGAAUUUGCCCCAAGGAAGAACAGGAGACUUGGUUUCUGGAAGGUCUGUGAGGUCCCCGCAGGUCCAUAUUAGUAUUCAGUAUUUAUAAUAUUUCCAUAAUGGUAAAACAAAAGAAAACAAGCAGAGAGAAUGCAUUUUUAAUCACCAAUCAUUUCUCUUUGUUUGUUGUGAAUGAACAGCGAGGUGAAAUAGUAUUUCAUAAUCACCCCAUUCGAAUUUUCCUCCCCACGAAGCGCCGAGAAAUCUCUAAAUAAAAUAAAUAAACAAGCCAAGACCUUAAAAUAAAUUCCAGAGGGUAAAGUGCUACGUGUGGGUUAUCACAGCUGCGGGGAGGCUGGGGCUGGGAGGUGGGGAAGGGAGGACAAAGGGCCAGGGGCCUUGUCAGUUAUCAGGAAUCGGAUCCCCCAGAUCCAGAGACUGACAAGGAAGGGCAGAAGAUCAGAGGAAUGGUUUGAAGAUCUGCAGCAGCAUGGAGCUGGAACAGACUCCCCCCUACUUCAUUUCUUCCUUCUUUUUCUUUCAGAAUCUUCUGGUCCUCCUUCUCUCACUGAAAACCAAAGAAACUCUUGUUCCCUGUCCCCUUGGCACUUUACAACCUCUCACUCAAAAUACUCCUCAUCAGGGGCUCUUUGGAUAAUGUCUGCCUGCCCUCUGAGCUAGUCCAACCUUCUCAAGUGAUAGAGGAAGAAACCAUAGCAAAGAGAACAUGGAAGGAACAUAUCUAAGACUCUCCAGCAAGUUAAUGACAGGGUUGGGCCUGGAAGCCAGGGGGCUUGACUCCCUGUCAAGUCAGCUUUCAUCUACCUGCACUUAUCUCUAGAUGUCUUUGAGAUGCCUCCUAUGCCGCUGGAUUUUCUCCACUGGCUGUUCCCAAUUUUUUGUUUUGUGCAUCUCUGCAUCUCCAGACCUUCAGGUCCUAGCAAGGUGCCUGGAACAUGGGGUCACUCAUCAAAUGUUUGUUAGAUAUGUGGAUGGAUGAAUGGAUGGAUAAAUGAAUGAAUUGGUGGGUGGAUGGAUGGAAGGGUGGAUGGAUGGAAGGAUGAAUGGGUGAAUUGGUGGGUGGAUGCGUGGAAGGGUACAUAGAUGGAUAGAUGGAUGAAUGGAUGGAUGGAUGAAAGGUUGGGUGGAUGGAUGGAUGGAUGGAUUAGUGGAUGGAUGAAUGGAAAGAUAGAAGCUGGCUGGCUGGAUGGAUGAAUUGGCGGGUGGAUGGAUGAAAGGAUGGAUGGAUGAAUUGGCGGGUGGAUGGAUGAAAUGAUGGAUGGAUGGAUAGACGAGUGGAUGGAUGGAAAAAUGGAAGGUAGAUAAAUGAAUAGAUGGGUAAACGGAUGGAUAGAUUAAAGGUUGGGUGAGUGGAUGGAUGGAUUAUUGGAGGGAUAGAUGGAUGGAUUAUUGGAGGCAUAGAUGGAUGAAUGGAUGGAUAAAUGUUGAGUGAGUGGAUAGACCGAUUAUUUGAUGGAUAGAUGGAUAAAUGCAUAAGAGGCUAAAGCUGAUUUCAUCCCCUUCCUGGCCAGUGGAAAAGGGCACCCUGGAUGGCCACUUGCUGGAUAGCUAACGUCAAUCACAGUGUAGUCUAGUUAACAUGUGGGAGUCCUGGCACCCUGAAAUUAUGUCUUCAACAACUCCUUGAAGGACUCUGAAAAAAAUCACCUUCUAGAAAAGAGGCCUCCCUCCUGGUUGAAAUUUGAGGGAUAGCGCCAGGGCCAGGCAGACCCCAUUUUCAAGUAAGUCAUAUGGUGGGAAAGAGCCCUGGCUGGGGCCAGAGGACCCAGGCUCUGUUCUCAUUCUGUCACUAGCUCUGCAUGGUCACUAGGGUCACUGGUGAGCAAGCGGCUUCCUCUCUCUGGGCUUUAAUUUUUCAUUCUGAACCAUUCUCUGUUCAAUGUUCUAGGCUGUGGGUCUGGCGCCUUCGAUGUGGACACCUUGCCAGGGCUUGGGAGAACUUCACCUCUGGGUCUCUCUCCCUUUUUUUUUUUUGAGAUGGAGUUUCACUCUGUUGCCCAGGCUGGAGUGCAGUGGCGCCAUCUCGGCUCGCUGCAACCUCCAUCUCCCAGGUUCAUGCUAUUCUCUUGCCUCAGCCUCCCAAGUAGCUGGGAUUAUAGGCACCCGCCACCACCCCCAGCUAAUUUUUGUAUUUUUACUAGAGACGGGGUUUUGCCAUGUUGGCCAGGCUGGUCUCGAGCUCCUGACUUCAGGUGAUCCGCCUGCCUCGGCCUCCCAAAGUGCUGGGAUUACAGGCGUGAGCCACCAUGCCCGGCCUGGGGUUCUUGUUUUGUCAACUGGGUGGCCCCUCUCCCUGGUCCCUGACCCCUUCCACCUUGAGGAGCGCCACUCGGACCUCUCCCACCCAGCCUCUUCUCUGGCAGGGCAGUGGGCACGGAGACAGCACAGAGCCUCAGGAAGCCAAGCCGCAGCCAAGACCCACACUCCUCUGAAUCCUAUUGAAAAAAUAAUAAAA
rnacentral:lncRNA from 10 species